AGGGUAAUAGCCCAGUGAUACAGUGCAUGCUUAGCAGGCAUGAGGCCCUGGGUUCUAUCCUCAGUACCUCUA
rnacentral:tRNA from 1 species